rnacentral:rRNA from 1 species
GACGAACGCUGGCGGCGUGCUUAACACAUGCAAGUCGAGCGAUGAAGCUUCUUCGGAAGUGGAUUAGCGGCGGACGGGUGAGUAACACGUGGGUAACCUGCCUCAUAGAGGGGAAUAGCCUUCCGAAAGGAAGAUUAAUACCGCAUAAGAUUGUAAUAUCGCAUGAUAUAGCAAUUAAAGGAGCAAUCCGCUAUGAGAUGGACCCGCGUCGCAUUAGCUAGUUGGUGAGGUAACGGCUCACCAAGGCGACGAUGCGUAGCCGGCCUGAGAGGGUGAUCGGCCACAUUGGGACUGAGACACGGCCCAGACUCCUACGGGAGGCAGCAGUGGGGAAUAUUGCACAAUGGGGGAAACCCUGAUGCAGCAACGCCGCGUGAGUGAUGACGGUCUUCGGAUUGUAAAGCUCUGUCUUUAGGGACGAUAACGACGGUACCUAAGGAGGAAGCCACGGCUAACUACGUGCCAGCAGCCGCCGUAA